UGCGGCAUUCUCAUUAACAUACGAUGACCAACUUUAAAAUCCGCUGAUCGAGCGCUCGGAAAACCCAAAAACAAAUUUUCUCUUUAUUUUCGUGGUCUUUCGCUUUUGUUUUGCUUAUUCUUAUUUGCUUUCAUGUAAAUCGGUCUAAAGGCACGCGAAGCGACGCCAACAUUUUCUUUUUGCACAAAAGCAUUUUAAUGAAUGGAAACUUUGUUCCGUUCAAUUACAAGAGGAUUCGUUCCGAACCGCGCCGUUCCGAGCCACAUCCACGCAUAAAACUUAUAUGUGUUGCCAUAAAUUUAAUUACUUUGUAAACUUGUUGGUCUUUUGUACUCUGAACACAGGUUCUAUGCCUCUCGAUUUUUGCGUAUGUCAAGGCAAAUGAAGCACUCUGUUACCUGAGCAUACCAUAUAGAAUCUAGAAUCUAUAGCACAUGCGAGUAUAUAUCUGCAGUUUUUGACGUCGAUUUCCUUUCCCAGUUGACGACUCGUGCAUAUCUCUCGUAUAGCACACAUCUGCAUACACAUUGAUAUGUAUAUAUGGAUAUACAUACAUACAUGUAUAUCUAUUGCAUAUAUCGCUAGCUAAUUGUGAAGGUCGUUUACGUCUGCAGUCGUCGCUCGCAUGUUUGUCUGCGCUACACCCUCGCUAUAAGUCACACGAAACUGGCAAACACAACGAGAA